GCCGAUUUGUGAUUAUCAGUAGAUUUGUGAUUAUGUUACUACUAUCAUUAUUUCAGGGAUCAAACUGAGACGAUCCAGGCCGGCGGAAUGGAAUCUGAUCCAACUGAUUCAUCUAGACGGCAUGAUUCAGAGAUUGCCAUGGGGAGCAAUACCGAUGCUCCAUUGUUAUUGGCUGAGGCUUCUUCACCUAUCCCAUAAGUUGAUUGGAAUACCUUAAAGAUAGUAGAGACACGGAAGGAAGAAUUGAACCAAUAAGUGAGGAUCAGCUAUAUGUGAUCUUGGGCUUGAGGGAUGAAGAUGAGAGGAGAAAGGUGGCUGAACCAAAUGGUCGUACAAUGCGUGAGCAGGGAGAUGAUAAUAUCGAUGGUGUUGCCAUUCCUAUUAGUGAUGCCAUAGCAGACGAGGUAGUGAUUAUAUAUGAUAAGGACCAGCUAAAAAUGGAUCUUGGCACUAUGUACCCAUCAAUGGAUGAAUUUAGGUUGGCUGUGAGGCAAUUUGCCAUUAAUGAGGAGUUUCAGCUAGGCACAAAGAAGUCAUCAAAGGAAAGGUUUAGAGGGUUCUGCAAGUCUAGUUAAGAAUUCUCUUGGAGGAUUGUUGGCAAAAGGCAAGCUGAUGAAAAAACAAUAAAAUUGAAAUAUUAUUAAGUAAUCAACCGUAAUUGUCUUGA